CUCUGCCUCUACUGAUGCACGUGGGGUUUUAUUUAUUUUAACUUUGCAAGUAGGCAUAAAUACAUAUAUAGCUCUAAUCAAAACCUUUUGCAAGUCAAAACCCUCUUGAGCAGAGUGUUUGCUUUAACUAAGUGGAGCCUCCAUCUCUCCCUGCAGUGUUCUUCCUGCCAGAAGUGUGUGUCCGGAGAACCUUCCUGACCAGCGAAAGAGGCAGAAAAUUCAGAAACUGGUUGCCAUGUAGGACACUCAACAGCACCCAUGGCUGGCCUGAGGCCACAAGUUGUAUGAAUCUCUCAGAUCUCGGGGGUGCAGCUCGGAUAUACAGAUGCAAGUAAGAAGCACCGGGCAAUGCCUAGGCUGUCCUCCACU
rnacentral:lncRNA from 1 species